rnacentral:rRNA from 1 species
AAGGAGUUUUCGGACAACGGAAGGUGAGGACAGUGGCGGACGGGUGAGUAACACGUGAGCAACCUGCCUAUCAAGGGGGAUAACGAUUGGAAACGAUCGCUAAUACCGCAUGACAUAGCGGAACCGCAUGGUUCUGUUAUCAAAGAUUUUAUCGCUGAUAGAUGGGCUCGCGUCCGAUUAGAUAGUUGGUGGGGUAACGGCCUACCAAGGCGACGAUCGGUAGCCGGACUGAGAGGUUGAACGGCCACAUUGGGACUGAGACACGGCCCAAACUCC